rnacentral:misc_RNA from 1 species
GUUAAUCGCCCCGCAUCGAACGACGGCCGUCGUCGCCUCGGGACGCCGCACGCCCUCGUGCUUGUCGGCCUCGUGCGACGCCGGCGUCGGUUAGGAAUGC